rnacentral:rRNA from 1 species
AUUGAACGCUGGCGGCAGGCCUAACACAUGCAAGUCGAGCGAGUGGCGGACGGGUGAGUAAUGUCUGGGGAACUGCCCGAUGGAGGGGGAUAACUACUGGAAACGGUGGCUAAUACCGCAUACUAUCAGAUGUGCCCAGAUGGGAUUAGCUUGUAGGUGGGGUAACGGCUUACCUAGGCGACGAUCCCUAGCUGGUCUGAGAGGAUGACCAGCCACACUGGAACUGAGACACGGCCCAGACUCCUACGGGAGGCAGCAGUGGGGAAUAUUGCACAAUGGGCGCAAGCCUGAUGCAGCCAUGCCGCGUGUAUGAAGAAGGCCUUCGGGUUGUAAAGUACUUUCAGUGGGGAGGCGUUACCCCCAGAAGAAGCACCGGCGAACUCCGUGCCAGCAGGCGCGGUAAUUC